ACUCCCUGUCCUGCUGCCCUGUGAAGAAGGUGCCUGCUUCUCUUUUGCCUUCUACCAUGAUUAGUUAAUUGAGAAAGAAGCCAUGUGGUCUGUGGCAGCAGCCGGAGGAAGGCAUGGUGACUCAACAGGGCUCUGCAUGGAAGAGUACAAGGUGGUUCUGGGAAGCAGCAAAGAUCGGCCACCCCAAGGCUCUGAGGGAGCCGCAUGCAGGCUCUAAGCAGAAUCAGGCCAACCCCUUGCCUGGAGGAAGUAGGGGAAGAGAGCUGCCAGUGGCAAGACCUGCUCAGGCUGUGGCGAACUUUCUGACCAAGUAUACAACUACCCAGAGGGCCUAGGAGAAGUGCUGUAUAGAGAGCAGUUCGACUUCAACGCUGAGCCACCUUGGGAACCUAGCUGAUGAUAGGGGGGUUCCAUCUCCCAACUUGUCCAUGGAGGUCUUCACUUCAGAAAUCCAAGACUCAUAUUCAUCCAGCUUGGUGUCAAGUGGGCUGUUGCUGCCAGAAUUAUCUUGUGAUUAUUUGAGAGAUGUAUCAGUUUCUUCUGAAGUACAAUCAACUGUAGAAGCCUUUGUAGCAG
rnacentral:sRNA from 1 species